UGUUAAAAUUUUUACCCAUUUUUGUACUGUUAAAAAUUAGCGUAGUUGACGGAAUAACUAAACUGGUAUUUAAUGUGUAUCUCAUACUGACAUACAAAGACCAGUUUUUAACUAUAAAAAUAGAUUAAAUUUUGACA
rfam:Gossypium arboreum cultivar AKA8401 contig_861_5, whole genome shotgun sequence.